CGGUUGCCAGGCAACUAGUUGAGCGAGGGCGUUGUUUUCACUUGUGUAUCAUCAUAUUUAUUGUUGUGAGUUGAAGAGAUGGCUCAGUGGCUAAGAGCAGAGGCUUGGAGAAGACCCAGGUUCUAUUCCUAGCAUCCAUUGGACGACUCGCAGCUCCAAGAGAACUAACGCCAGUUCCUGGAGAACUGACGCCCUCUUCUGGUUUCUAUGGGCAUUGCACGCAGUGGUGCUUAAACGUGUUCAGGCAACAUAGUCAUAUACAUAAAAUAAAAAUGGGGGUUGGGGAUUUGGCUCAGCGGUAGAGCGCUUGCCUAGCAAACUCAAGGCCCUGGGUUCGGUCCCCAGUUCCGAAAAAAAGAAUAGAAAAAAAAAUGGAUUCACCAGCUCAAGUCCAGCGCUGUCCUCUAAGAGGCUGCCUACCUGGAACAUCCUGAGCGGAACGAUAAAGAAAACGGUGCUUACUCCCUGGGAUGUGUAAGAUUUAUUUCCGUUCAUGGAUGUUUUCCCUGCCUGUAUGUAUAUGCAUGCACCACAUGCAUGCGGAGGCCGGAAAACGGUAUAGGAUCCCCUGGAACUGGAGUUAUAGAUAGUCAAAACCAUCAUGCAGGUACUGGGAACCGAACCAAGGCCCUCUUCAAGAACGACAAGUACUCUUUUUUUUUUUUUUGGUUCUUUUUUUCGGAGUUGGGGAUCGAACCCAGGGCCUUGCGCUUCCUAGGCAAGCGCUCUACCACUGAGCUAAAUCCCCAACCCCGACAAGUACUCUUAAUUACUGAACCCCAUGUACUGGUCAGUAUUAAGCUGGCCUGAAACACACACACACACACACACACACACACACACAAAAGACUUGCUUUAUGAUACCUUCCAUAUAGAGUGUUUAAGGUGUCAGACGAGAUGACGACACAAUUAGCUAGAUUCCAGAAUGGGGAUUCCAAUGAACCAAUCAGGGAACGCAAUUUUAGAGAGACAAAGGCCGAAUGCUAUUAAGGAAGAACAAAAUGUGAUUGGUUACUACGAAAUUAGUUUCCUCAUUGGGCAACCACAGGCCUUCCAAUCCUUGCACUCAGGACCUCACUACAACAGUGGAAACUGGCCUGUCUAGGACAUUUGGUGAUCAUCUAUUUACUCUCCUCCCCACCUCCAUCCCAAGGAAAGCCAAAUAACAAGUUUCGGUUUGGUUACAUAGA